rnacentral:lncRNA from 1 species
GCCUAGGCUAGAUGAAGGAAUAUCCACAGAAUGUCUAGCCGAAAAUGCAUUAAUGGAGCUACUAUGUCGUGCAAAAGCAUCAAAGGUACUACCUAUCGGGGUCUGCAUCUGAAAUGGAUUAUCUUGAAUACCAACCUGUUGGAAGGACCACUGUGUUGGGGUUAUAUGAGGUGGUGGCAUAUAACUACCAUGUGUCCACGUAGUAUAUUGUGAUCCACCUUCUUGUGGAACACUAGGUCCUGCUGAA